rnacentral:rRNA from 1 species
UGACGGUACCUGACUAAGAAGCCCCGGCUAACUACGUGCCAGCAGCCGCGGUAAUACGUAUGGAGCAAGCGUUAUCCGGAUUUACUGGGUGUAAAGGGAGCGCAGGCGGUUUUGUAAGUUGGGUGUGAAAACCCGGGGCUCAACCCCGGGACUGCACCCAAAACUGCAGGACUAGAGUGUCGGAGGGGCAAGCGGAAUUCCUAGUGUAGCGGUGAAAUGCGUAGAUAUUAGGAGGAACACCGGUGGCGAAGGCGGCUUGCUGGACGAUAACUGACGCUGAGGCUCGAAAGCGUGGGGAGCAAACAGGAUUAGAUACCCUG